rnacentral:lncRNA from 1 species
GAAGUUCACACGCUGUUGAUUUUUCUAGGACGAGCUUGCUGUGGCUGGUUUUCGUGAGGCAAACUUGGCUGUUCUUGUCAUUGGAGGAGCUCAGGUUCUCACUGUCACUGGGAAUGGCUGCUGUUCUCAUCAGCGGAGGAAGACCAGGAGAAGGCGCCAUGUGCCCUUUUGGACUGCUGAGUCCUAGUGGUCACUAGAGGGCGCAUGCUCUCACCUUUCUUGAGCUGAUGUAGCCCCAGAGGGUGCCAGAGGCCAGAGGCCAUGCAGGACAGUGGCCCACAUCUCACCCUCCGGACCGACCUCCUGGAGGUGCCUAUGCCUGCUGUGUAACUUUUUAAUUUCCAGCUGUCUGCUCAGAGCUCUAUCUUCACAAGUCAUCGAUUCCGCUGCAUGGAAAGAGGUCAUAUCAGUAGAGGACGAUGAGACCCACUGACACCACUUUGGCCUUAGGUCUAUCCACAUCUUCCCCCUGACCUUGACAUGGAUUCUCUGAGCCAAGGUUACUCAGGUCCCCUUCCAAUCUCCUCAAAGUCUCCCUCCCUGUUUUUUAACACCUCUCUUUCACGC